AGCAGUGCCUGAAGGAAGAAAGUACAUUCUCCAUUUCAGAAGAUACCAGAUCUGCACAGACCACCAAGCCUGUGAAGACGCAUAACAGUGAAAAGCUUUCCAAGAAAAAAGGCCAGGUUCCAAGGCUACAACAAGGCCCUGGGGACGAGAGGAAGAUGGCCCUUGGUGCUCUCCAGGUGUCCUCUGAGGAUGGGGCACUGCAGGCUGUGCCCAGCGGCCAGGACGGUGGGAAGGCUGUGUGGCCCAGCACCCUGGGAGAGGGAGACAAGGAGCGAGUGGACGCAAGCCAGGGAAAGGAUGGGGUGAAAGUGAAAAGCAAACAGAAAAGAAAAAAGGAGAACAAAUCGGAAGAGCAAAGGUGGGAAGGGCUUAAGGAGAAAGGUGCUGGGAGACAGACCAAGGCUUCGAAGCCGGAGGAGGGCAGCGGGGACGGGAGGGGUGCGUGUGGCCCCAGCAGGGGGGCGCCUGUGGAGAGGGGGCGCGGGCCCAGCGGGGAGGCGGUGAAUGGAGGCGACAGGGACGCAGGAGCGGA